rnacentral:rRNA from 1 species
GCCUAGCCAUUAACAACAAUCAACCCAACCUACCAACCAUUCGCCAGAGAACUACAAGCCAAACCUGCUUGAAACUCAAAGGACUUGGCGGUGUCCCAUAUCCCCCUAGAGGAGCCUGUCCUAUAAUCGAUACUCCACGCUAAACCUCACCACCCCAGGCCAAUCCAGUUUAUAUACCGCCGUCACCAGCCUACCCUGUGAAGGCCACCAAAGUAGGCAGAAACGCCUGCACAAAUACGUCAGGUCAAGGUGUAACUAAUGGAGUGGAAGAGAUGGGCUACAUUUUCUAACCUAGAAAACACGGACACUACAAUGAAAUCUUGUACUUAAAGGAGGAUUUAGUAGUAAAAUAACGAAGAAAACUUAUUUUAACCUGGCACUGGGACGCGCACACACCGCCCGUCACCCUCUUCAACAAAUCACCGUUUAACCCUACCAUAUAACACCGAUACUAAUUAAGAAGAGGAAAGUCGUAACAUGGUAAGCGUACUGGAAAGUGCGCUUGGACAAA